rnacentral:lncRNA from 1 species
GGGGUAUAGUGACAGUAACAGAGGGAUUGAGGGCCUGCUCAGUGAGGUUACAUCUUAGAUGGAGUGGGGUAUAGUGACACAGUAACAGAGGGAUUGAGGGCCCUGCUCGGUGAGUUUACAUGUUAGAGGGAGUGGGGUAUAGUGACACAGUAACAGAGGGAUUGAGGGCCCUGCUCAAUGAGUUUACAUGUUAGAGGGAGUGGGGUAUAGUGACACAGUAACAGAGGGAUUGAGGGCCUGCUCAGUGAGUUUACAUGUUAGAGGGGGUGGGGUAUAGUGACACAGUAACAGAGGGAUUGAGGGCCCUGCUCAGUGAGUUUACAUGUUAGAGGGAGUGGGGUAUAGUGACACAGUAACAGAGGGGUUGAGGGCCCUGCUCAGUGAGUUUAUAUGUUAGAGGGAAUGGGGUAUAGUGACACAGUAACAGAGGGAUUGAGGGCCCUGCUCAGUGAGUUUACAUGUUAGAGGGAGUGGGGUAUAGUGACACAGUAACAGAGGGAUUGAGGGCCUGCUCAGUGAGUUUACAUGUUAGAGGGAGUGGGGUAUAGUGACACAGUAACAGAGGGAUUGAGGCCCUGCUCAGUGAGGUUACAUGUUAGAGGGAGUGGGGUAUAGUGACACAGUAACAGAGGGAUUGGGGGCCUGCUCAGUGAGUUUACAUGUUAGAGGGAGUGGGGUAUAGUGACACAGUAACAGAGGGAUUGAGGCCCUGCUCAGUGAGUUUACAUGUUAGAGGGAGUGGGGUAUAUUGACACAGUAACAGAGGGAUUGAGGGCCCUGCUCAGUGAGUUUACAUGUUAGAGGGAGUGGGGUAUAGUGACACAGUAACAGAGGUAUUCAGGGCCCCUGCUCAAUGAGCUUACAUGUUAGAGGAGUGGGGGCUAUAGUGACACAGUAACAGGAUUGAGGGCCUGCUCAGUGAGUUUACAUGCUAGAGGGAGUGGGGUAUAGUAGCACAGUAACAGAGGGAUUGAGGGCCUGCUCAUUGAGUUUACAUGUUAGAGGGAGUGGGGUAUAGUGACACAGUAACAGAGGGAUUGAGGGCCCUGCUCAGUGAGUUUACAUGUUAGAGGGAGUGGGGUAUAGUGACACAGUAACAGAGGAUUGAGGGCCUGCUCAGUGAGUUUACAUGUUAGAGGGAGUGGGGUAUAGUGACACAGUAACAGAGGGAUUGAGGGCCCUGCUCAGUGAGCUUACAUGUUAGAGGGAGUGGGGUAUAGUAACACAGUAACAGAGGGAUUGAGGGCCAUCUCAGUGAGUUUACAUGUUAGAGGGAGUGAGGUAUAGUGACAGUAACAGAGGGAUUGAGGGCCUGCUCAGUGAGUUUACAUGCUAGAGGGAGUGGGGUAUAGUGACA